UACAGAGGGGGCAAGCGUUAUUCGGAAUUAUUGGGCGUAAAGGGCGCGUAGGCGGCUUUGCAAGUGACGGGUGAAAUCCCUCGGCUUAACCGAGGAACUGCCUGUCAAACUGCAUGGCUUGAGACCGGGAGAGGUGAGUGGAAUUCCCAGUGUAGCGGUGAAAUGCGUAGAUAUUGGGAGGAACACCAGUGGCGAAGGCGGCUCACUGGACCGGUACAGACGCUGAUGCGCGAAAGCGUGGGGAGCAAACAGG
rnacentral:rRNA from 1 species